rnacentral:rRNA from 1 species
GAUGAACGCUAGCGGCAGGCCUAACACAUGCAAGUCGAGGGGCAGCACAUAAAGUGGUUUACUACUUUAGGUGGCGACCGGCGGACGGGUGCGUAACGCGUAUGCAACCUGCCUCCAACAGGGGGAUAACGGAGAGAAAUUUCCACUAAUACCCCAUAAUAUCAGAAUCGGCAUCGGUUUUGGUUGAAAACUCCGGUGGUUGGAGAUGGGCAUGCGUUGUAUUAGAUAGUUGGUGAGGUAACGGCUCACCAAGUCAACGAUACAUAGGGGGACUGAGAGGUUAGCCCCCCACACUGGUACUGAGACACGGACCAGACCCCUACGGGAGGCAGCAGUGAGGAAUAUUGGUCAAUGGGGGCAACCCUGAACCAGCCAUGCCGCGUGCAGGAAGACGGCUCUAUGAGUUGUAAACUGCUUUUACAAGGGGAUAAAUCGGUGUACGUGUACACCGUUGAAGGUACCUUGGGAAUAAGGAUCGGCUAACUCCGUGCCAGCCGCCGCAGUAA